ACGAACGCUGGCGGCGUGCUUAACACAUGCCAGUCGAACGGAAAGGCCCUGCUUUUGUGGGGUGCUCGAGUGGCGAACGGGUGAGUAACACGUGAGUAACCUGCCCUUGACUUUGGGAUAACUUCAGGAAACUGGGGCUAAUACCGGAUAGGAGCUCCUGCUGCAUGGUGGGGGUUGGAAAGUUUCGGCGGUUGGGGAUGGACUCGCGGCUUAUCAACUUGUUGGUGGGGUAGUGGCUUACCAAGGCUUUGACGGGUAGCCGGCCUGAGAGGGUGACCGGCCACAUUGGGACUGAGAUACGGCCCAGACUCCUACGGGAGGCAGCAGUGGGGAAUAUUGCACAAUGGGCGGAAGCCUGAUGCAGCAACGCCGCGUGCGGGAUGACGGCCUUCGGGUUGUAAACCGCUUUCGCCUGUGACGAAGCGUGAGUGACGGUAAUGGGUAAAGAAGCACCGGCUAACUACGUG
rnacentral:rRNA from 1 species